AUGAGCUCACAAGUCUCCACAUCGCGGGGUUUACAUCCCCCAGAGAAAAUUAUGGCAUACGAGUCCCCUCCCACAUGGCCACUGUCGGUGCCUACGAGCAAGGCUGAGGCAGGUAGCAGCGAUGACCAGGAGGUUAGGCUGUUGUCGGUUUCUUGGAAUCAGGAUUGUGGUUGCUUCGCUGCUGGCACAAGCAAUGGCUUCAGAAUCUUUAACUGCGACCCUUUUAAGGAGACUUUCAGGAGGGAUCUGAAGAGUGGUGGGUUUGGGAUAGUUGAGAUGCUGUUCCGCUGCAACAUCCUUGCUCUUGUAGGUGGCGGCUCCAAUAUGCAUUAUCCGCCCAACAAGGUGAUGAUCUGGGAUGAUCACCAGAGCCGCUGUAUUGGGGAGUUUACCUUCCGCUCUGAUGUACGGGCCGUAAAAUUGGGGAAAGAUAACAUUGUGAUUGUCCUUGAGACAAAGAUAUAUGUUUAUAACUUUACGGAUCUGAAGAUGCUCCAUCAGAUAGAGACCCUGUCAAAUCCUAAAGGACUGUGCUGUCUCUCUCAUCAUUCCAAUACUUCAGUGCUGGCCUGUCCUGGGCUGAGUCAGGGACAUGUUCGGGUAGAGCAUUUUGGGCUAAAGGUGACAAAGAUGAUUACAGCCCAUGAUUCACACAUUUCUUGCAUGGCCUUGACUAUGGAUGGUCUCUUGCUGGCAACGGCAAGUAUGAAGGGUACUCUAAUCAGAAUAUUUAACACGAUGGAUGGCACUCGCCUGCAAGAGGUGCGCAGAGGUCUUGAUAAAGCCGAGAUAUACAGCAUUGCACUGUCACCAAAUGUGCAAUGGUUGGCAGUGUCCAGCGACAAAGGAACGGUUCAUAUAUUCAGUCUAAAAGUCAGGGUUGCGGGUGAAGAUUCAAGUAAUGAUCAGCGUACCCUUGAAGCUCCACGGAUGGAUCAUCAGAAUUCUUCUACCUCUAUGGAUCCUCUUAUACAAACAAACACUGGAUCCAAUGCAAGCUCAUCACUGUCUUUCAUGAAAGGGAUUCUGCCGAAGUACUUCAGUUCAGAGUGGUCAUUUGCUCAGUUCCAUUUGCCGGAAGUCACACGUUACAUCGUAGCUUUCGGCGCUCAAAACACUGUAAUGAUGGUUGGCCUGGAUGGCAGCUUCUACAGGUGCAUCUUUGACCAAGUAAGCGGCGGGCAGAUGACCCAGAAGGAAUACUCACGGUUUCUGAAGACUGACUACCCUCCCUUGAGGACAUUGACCGCGUAA
rnacentral:rRNA from 1 species